rnacentral:rRNA from 1 species
GACGAACGCUAGCGGCAGGCCUAAUACAUGCAAGUCGAACGAGAAUCCCUUCGGGGAGGAAAGUGGCGCACGGGUGCGUAACACGUAUGCAACUUACCCUUUAGAGGGGGAUAGCCUAGAGAAAUUUAGAUUAAUACCCCAUAUUAUCAUUGAUUCGCAUGUUUUGAUGAUGAAAGAAUUUCGCUAAAGGAUGGGCAUGCGUCCCAUUAGUUAGUUGGUGAGGUAACGGCUCACCAAGGCGACGAUGGGUAGCUGGUCUGAGAGGAUGAUCAGCCACACGGGCACUGAGACACGGGCCCGACUCCUACGGGAGGCAGCAGUAAGGAAUAUUGGGCAAUGGGGGCAACCCUGACCCAGCCAUGCCGCGUGCAGGAUGAAGGUCCUCUGGAUCGUAAACUGCUUUUAUCAGGGGCUAAAGUGGGACUAUACGUCCUUUUGCAGGUACCUGAAGAAUAAGCACCGGCUAACUACG